rnacentral:misc_RNA from 1 species
UAUUUUGCACUUGAAGUUGGACGA